UACGAAGGGGGCUAGCGUUGCUCGGAAUCACUGGGCGUAAAGGGUGCGUAGGCGGGUCUUUAAGUCAGAGGUGAAAUCCUGGAGCUCAACUCCAGAACUGCCUUUGAUACUGAGGAUCUUGAGUACGGGAGAGGUGAGUGGAACUGCGAGUGUAGAGGUGAAAUUCGUAGAUAUUCGCAAGAACACCAGUCGCGAAGGCGGCUCACUGGCCCGGUACUGACGCUGAGGUGCGAAAGCGUGGGGAGCAAACAGG
rnacentral:rRNA from 1 species